rnacentral:misc_RNA from 1 species
AUUCCGUAGGUGAACCUGCGGAAGGAUCAUUACAAACGUAUCCACGUAUAAACCACACCGUUGAACUGUAACUAGUCCGUUAGGCUGGGUUCGGUUGAUUCAAGGUGAACAUUUUAAACAGUGCCUUCUUUUUCGGGAGGUGCGAGUGGUCAAAAACGCCUUGAUCGAUCUACAUGCUAUAGUCAGUUUUCUGACUCCCUGCUGUAAGCCCUUCCUAGUUCGCGUAUUUUCUAAAACUUUAUGACCAUUUUAUUUCACCCAUUUCACCCAAUUUUUAACUACUAACUUAUCUGAUCUGACUCCGAGAGGAGAUGGAUUAAAAUACGAAAUUAAGAACAACUCUUAACAACGGAUAUCUUGGCUCUC